AACUUAGCAGAGAUGCUUUGGUUCCUUCGGGAACUCUGAGACAGGUGCUGCAUGGCUGUCGUCAGCUCGUGUUGUGAAAUGUUGGGUUAAGUCCCGCAACGAGCGCAACCCUUAUCCUUUGUUGCCAGCGGUCCGGCCGGGAACUCAAAGGAGACUGCCAGUGAUAAACUGGAGGAAGGUGGGGAUGACGUCAAGUCAUCAUGGCCCUUACGAGUAGGGCUACACACGUGCUACAAUGGCGCAUACAAAGAGAAGCGACCUCGCGAGAGCAAGCGGACCUCAUAAAGUGCGUCGUAGUCCGGAUUGGAGUCUGCAACUCGACUCCAUGAAGUCGGAAUCGCUAGUAAUCGUAGAUCAGAAUGCUACGGUGAAUACGUUCCCGGGCCUUGUACACACCGCCCGUCACACCAUGGGAGUGGGUUGCAAAAGAAGUAGGUAGCUUAACCUUCGGGAGGGCGCUUACCACUUUGUGAUUCAUGACUGGGGUGAAGUCGUAACAAGGUAGGCGUAGCGAG
rnacentral:rRNA from 1 species